UACGUAGGGUGCAAGCGUUAAUCGGAAUUACUGGGCGUAAAGCGUGCGCAGGCGGUUUUGUAAGUUUGUCGUGAAAGCCCCGGGCUCAACCUGGGAAUUGCGAUGAAGACUGCAAGGCUUGAAUCUGGCAGAGGGGGGUAGAAUUCCACGUGUAGCAGUGAAAUGCGUAGAGAUGUGGAGGAACACCGAUGGCGAAGGCAGCCCCCCUGGGUCAACACUGACGCUCAUGCACGAAAGCGUGGGGAGCAAACAGG
rnacentral:rRNA from 1 species